rnacentral:misc_RNA from 1 species
UAUCAAAUCCUUCUUUCUUUCUCUACUUUCUCUCUACUCUCUUUGUCACCCAUUCACCUUCACUCCUCAUUAUCAUCUUUUCCUCUUUAUGUUUUGAUCCAACGGAGGAGUAUUUCCAGCGUUUAGAGAUCACUUGCAGGCUUUUGCAGUAGUGGCGCAUCACCUGGUGAGGAUUAUCUUCCCAACUGACAUCGCCAGGGGUGGAGCGUGGAGGCCAGCGAUGGUUUAUCUACAUUCUGUCUCAAUUAGGGGAUUAAACUUGAGCUCUAUCUCUCCUAAGCUCGAUUUCCUCAAUUUAUUUUGUUUGAGUUUCUUUAAUUUUUCUCCAGUUUUUAGGUUCUCUGUGAGUAUAGCUUAUUUGUUGCAAUUUUUCUUAUUGAUAUGCCUAUUCAAUUUCUAGGUUAAUUAAGAUUACUCUAACUUUCUAG